GAUUAUGACGUACUUGUACUGAUUGAGAUUUUAACACGAAGUGAGUGGCGAACGGGUGAGUAACACGUGGGUAACCUGCCCAGAAGUAGGGGAUAACACCUGGAAACAGAUGCUAAUACCUAACACGUGGGUAACCUGCCCAGAAGUAGGGGAUAACACCUGGAAACAGAUGCUAAUACCGUAUAACAGAGAAAACCGCAUGGUUUUCUUUUAAAAGAUGGCUCUGCUAUCACUUCUGGAUGGACCCGCGGCGUAUUAGCUAGUUGGUGAGGUAAAGGCUCACCAAGGCAGUGAUACGUAGCCGACCUGAGAGGGUAAUCGGCCACAUUGGGACUGAGACACGGCCCAGACUCCUACGGGAGGCAGCAGUAGGGAAUCUUCCACAAUGGACGCAAGUCUGAUGGAGCAACGCCGCGUGAGUGAAGAAGGGUUUCGGCUCGUAAAGCUCUGUUGUUAAAGAAGAACGUGGGUAAGAGUAACUGUUUACCCAGUGACGGUAUUUAACCAGAAAGCCACGGCUAACUACGUGCCAGCAGCCGCGGUAAUACGUAGGUGGCAAGCGUUAUCCGGAUUUAUUGGGCGUAAAGCGAGCGCAGGCGGUCUUUUAAGUCUAAUGUGAAAGCCUUC
rnacentral:rRNA from 1 species